UGGGGAAUAUUGCACAAUGGACGGAAGUCUGAUGCAGCGACGCCGCGUGGGGGAUGACGGCCCUCGGGUUGUAAACCCCUUUCGCCAGGGACGAAGCCUUUUGCAGGUGACGGUACUUGGAGAAGAAGCGCCGGCCAACUACGUGCCAGCAGCCGCGGUAAGACGUAGGGCGCGAGCGUUGUCCGGAUUUAUUGGGCGUAAAGAGCUCGUAGGCGGUCCAUUGCGUCUGUCGUGAAAACCUGCAGCUUAACUGUGGGCUUGCGGUUGAUACGGGUGGGCUGGAGUUCGGUAGGGGAGACUGGAAUUCCUGGUGUAGCGGUGAAAUGCGCAGAUAUCAGGAGGAACACCGGUGGCGAAGGCGGGUCUCUGGGCCGAUACUGACGCUGAGGAGCGAAAGCGUGGGGAGCGAACAGG
rnacentral:rRNA from 1 species